rnacentral:rRNA from 1 species
UAAAAUAAUUAUUUUUAAAAAAUUUAAAAAUUAAUUUAUUAAAAAAAAUUAUUUCAAAAAAUUAAGUUAUUUAAAUUUAAAUAAUAAUUAAAAUAUUAAAAAUCUAAAAAGCUAAAAAAAAUUAAUUUUUAAGAAAAAUUAAUUUUUUAUACCUUUUGUAUCAGGGUAAAUUAAAAUUUAUUUAUAUAAUAACAUCUCGAAAAAAAAAUAAUUAAUUAAUUAUUUUAGUUAAUAUAAAAUUAUUAUUAAAAAUAUUUAAUUAGAAGAGAAAUUCUAUUCGAUUUUUUUGAUAUCUAGUUAUUUAAUAAAAAAAUUUAAUUUUAUUAUAAAUAAAAUUAUAAUUUAUUUUAAAAAAUAUAUUAUGAUAAUUUAUAAAAAAAAUUUUAGGGAUAAACUUAAAAUUUAAUUUAAAAUUUUUAAUUAAAAAUAUUAAUUAUAAAAUUGAAAAUUUUUAUUAAUAAAAAAAAUUUAAUAAUUUAUAAUUUUUAAAAAAAAAUUUUUUUUUUUAUUUAAAAUUUUUAUUAAAUUUUUUAAUAAAAUUAAUUUUAUAAAAAAAUAAUGAUUUAAUUAGUAAAUUUUUUUUAUAAAUAAAUAUUUUUUAUAAAUAGAUAUUUAAUUAAAUAAUUCGGCAAAAUUUUAUAUUCACCUGUUUAACAAAAACAUGUCUUUAAGAAAAUUAAUUUAAAGUCUAAUCUGCCCAAUGAUUUAAAUUAAAUGGCUGCAGUAUAUUGACUGUACAAAGGUAGCAUAAUAAUUUGUUUUUUAAAUGAAAACUAGAAUGAAAGAUUAAAUGAAAUAUAAACUGUUUCAAUUAAAUUAAAAUUAAAUUUUAUAUUUAAGUAAAAAAGCUUAAAUUAAUUUUAAAGACGAUAAGACCCUAUAGAAUUUUAUUAUUAAUUAAAUUUUUUUUAAAAAAAACUUAAAUAAUAAUUUAGUUGGGGGUAUUAAAAAAUUUAAAAAAUUUUUUUUUUAUAAAACAUUAAUGUAUGAAUUUUUUAUCUUAAUUUUUAAAUUAAAAAAAUUAAUUACCUUAGGGAUAACAGCAUAAUUUUUUUUAAAAGAUCUUAUUAAUAAAAAAGAUUAUGACCUCGAUGUUGAAUUAAGAUAAAAUUUAAAUGUAGAAAUUUAAAAAUUUAAGUCUGUUCGACUUUUAAAAUCUUACAUGAUUUGAGUUAAAAUCGGCGUAAGCCAGAUUGGUUUCUAUCUUAAAAUAAAAUAAAUAUAAUUGUACGAAAGGAACUUAUAUUUAAAAUAAUUUUAAAAUUAUCAAUAUAUAUAAUUG